UACUUUUAAUAUACAAAUACAAACACACAAGUGAACGAGUGGAAUACCAAAGCUGAACUCCCCUCUCACAUUUGAGAAUAGUAUAUAUAAAGACAACCUGUCAUAAGGACAUUUUAUAAUGUAUCUAAAUACACACGUUUUAGAGUUACAUAUAUUAAUCAUCUUGACAUAAGAUCAGUUCGCUUGUAUCCUGAACUAUAAUACUCAUAAAUCAUGUCAUGUUCCAUAGUGCACAUUAUGAAAUAAAAACCUUAAUAUAUGUAUAUACAUGUUGACUUGUCAUUCUUUUUGAAUAUAGCGUGUAUGACUAAUUAGCCUGUGCAAUCAGCUAUACGACAAAUAUCCUCCUUUUCUUACAUAAAAAAAUAUUUAAAAAAAAAAGUAUUAAACAAGGUAUUAUUUAAUAUCAAACAUUUCAAACUCGUUCUAACAAAUUAAAAAAAAAUCUAAAAUCUAAAAUCAACUUGACAUCUGUUUUACCCUUAAGGUAAUAUCCGGUCAGAGAUGUCCGGUCAGAGAUGUUAUCUUAUUUUGAAAAGAAAAAAUCACCUCAGGUCAUAUCAUCUCUGAUUGGUCAAUUGAAUAUCGUGUGUAACCUUUUCAUGUUUGAAUUCAUUUUAAUAGAAAAAUUUGGAUAGAUACAAUGUAGCACAGGUAAGUUUACUUUUGAUAUUAGUUUUAAAAGUUUAGAAUAAGUAAAAUAAUAAUUAUUGUUAAAUGUUCGAUUAAUCUUUAUGGAAAAAAAUACAAAAAUAAUAUGUUAAAGUGACAUAAGGUAAAUAUUAUAGCUUUAUAAGUUUUUCAAUAAAUAUUAAAUUUCCUUUAUUUCAUCAUAAAAAAAGAAAAAAAAAGUUAAUUUCUAGAGAUCAAGAAAACAUAAAAAACAAACAAAUAAGUUAACAAUUUUCAAAGAACAAAUUAUUUUAAGAAUAUUAAUUAGAAAAAACUUUAAGGUAUAAAAUUUAACAGAAUUAUAUGUAUGAUAAGAGUAAAAAAGAUAUUUAUAUACGAACAAGUUUAAAAAAAUAUUAUAAACAAUUGAUAAUUGAUAAAAUGUCCAGGUGUUUCAUUUCCUGUAAAAUGUGUAUUGUGCAUGCGCAUUGAACACUUCCUGUGACACGUAUAUUUUUUGUAACAGGUACUUGCUGACAUCAGUAUGGCUUGGUCUUCGUAACGUUUCGGGAAUUUCAAAUCGUUGAUAUUUGAACAACAAGACAACUGUCAUAAAAUGCAUAGGAUAAGAAUUCCAAUGAAAGAUGUUCUCUAGUGUACUUCGUUGUGUCCCGCUGUCCAAAAUCGUCGCUUCGACAUCGCUGGUCUUAGGCGCCAAAUCAACCGUUGUCGUAUAACGGAGAAAGAACUCACGGAUGUUACAUACUUUUAAUAUACAAAUACAAACACACAUGUGAACGAGUUGAAUACCAAAACUGAACUCCUCUCCCUGGACAUUUGAGAAUAGUAUAUAUAAAGACAACCUGUCAUAAGGACAUUUUAUAAUGUAUCUAAAUACACACGUUUUAGAGUUACAUAUAUUAAUCAUCUUGACAUAAGAACAGUUCGCUUGUAUCCUGAACUAUAAUACUCAUAAAUCAUGUCAUGUUCCAUAGUGCACAUUAUGAAAUAAAAACCUUAAUAUAUGUAUAUACAUGUUGACUUGUCAUUCUUUUUGAAUAUAGCGUGUAUG